UGAGGAAUAUUGGUCAAUGGACGGAAGUCUGAACCAGCCAUGCCGCGUGAAGGAUGAAGGCGUUAUGCGUUGUAAACUUCUUUUAUUGGGGAAGAAACCACUGAUUUCUAUUAGUGUUGACGGUACCUGAGGAAUAAGCACCGGCUAACUCCGUGCCAGCAGCCGCGGUAAUACGGAGGGUGCGAGCGUUAUCCGGAUUUACUGGGUUUAAAGGGUGUGUAGGCGGGCUGUUAAGUCAGUGGUGAAAUCU
rnacentral:rRNA from 1 species